AAUCACUGGCGAUUUCUUUAUCUCCACCGGUGGAUUCGUUCUCUGUUUUCCUCUGAUUCGCGUCCUAUCUCCCAAAGCAAUCGUGCUAGCGAAACUCAUACCUCCAAUCCAAGCCGAUAUGCAACAUAAGGUUUCAAGAGACGGCUUGCUGAGAACGCCACGUGAGACGUAAUCGUACGGAUCGUCGAGGACAAACGUGGUCUAGCCGCCGUUAACAUCCGUCGUUGCUCCAUCUGCGACUCAUCGGAAAAAAGUGAAAUCAACUCUUACGGAUCAUCAUGUUGCAGAGGAGAUCAUCAUCAUCAUCCGCUUUUCACUUCUGAUCAAUGACUACUAAUUGGAUCAUCGGAAUUCACACAGAGUCUCUGUAUAAAGAGAUUCUCUCAAGAAGAAAAUUAAAGAAGAAGAAGAAGAUGCGUGAAUGUGAAUCAGAGAGUUUUGAUUUUUUCUCUCAACGAAGAAUUAGAAGAGGCUGCGUGUAUGAGUCUUUAUUUAUAAGCAAAGUGUUAAUUAGGUCUUCAUCAAUAAUGAUAACCGUUUGUUCAAUAUAGCCGUUGGAGUCGGUUAAUGACUUUGACAUAAGCAGAUAUUUGUCUUGAUCUUAAUUUCCUUUUCUUUGGAUGGGCUUUUGUACAGAGAUUCCUUUUUUAAUCAAUCGAAUUCUUCCCAUCAACAUAGUGACAUGAUGGAGAUAUUUAAUCUCUGCUUAC
rnacentral:sRNA from 1 species